rnacentral:misc_RNA from 1 species
UUUCCGUAGGUGAACCUGCGGAAGGAUCAUUAAAGAGUAAGGGUCUUCGGGCCCGGUCUCCAACCCUUUGUUUAACUACCAUGUUGCUUUGGCGGGCCCGUCUCACGACCGCCGGAAGUUUGGCUUCGACCAAACUUCUGGCCCGUGCCCGUCAGUGGCCCCUUCAAAUUCUUGAUCAAGUAUGAUGUCUUAGUUAAAAACUUAAUAGUUAAAACUUUCAACAACGGAUCUCUUGGUUCUG